rnacentral:rRNA from 1 species
CAGUCGCCGCGGGAAUACGAAGGGUGCAAGCGUUACUCGGAAUUACUGGGCGUAAAGCGUGCGUAGGUGGUUGUUUAAGUCUGUUGUGAAAGCCCUGGGCUCAACCUGGAAUUGCAGUGGAUACUGGGCGACUAGAGUGUGGUAGAGGGUAGUGGAAUUCCCGGUGUAGCAGUGAAAUGCGUAGAGAUCGGGAGGAACAUCCAUGGCGAAGGCAGCUACCUGGACCAACACUGACACUGAGGCACGAAAGCGUGGGGAGCAAACAGGAUUAGAUACCCCUGUAGUCCCUGUCUCUUAUACA